CCUACGGGGGGCAGCAGUGGGGAAUAUUGCACAAUGGGGGAAACCCUGAUGCAGCGACGCCGCGUGAGUGAAGAAGUAAUUCUUUAUGUAAAGCUCUAUCAGCAGGGAAGAAAAUGACGGUACCUGAGUAAGAAGCCCCGGCUAACUACGUGCCAGCAGCCGCGGUAAUACGUAGGGGGCAAGCGUUAUCCGGAUUUACUGGGUGUAAAGGGAGCGUAGACGGCAGUGCAAGUCUGGAGUGAAAGGCGGGGGCUCAACCCCCGGACUGCUCUGGAAACUGUACGGCUGGAGUGCAGGAGAGGUAAGUGGAAUGCCUGGUGUAGCGGUGAAAUGCGGAGAUAUUAGGAGGAACACCAGUGGCGAAGGCAGCUUACUGGACUGUAACUGACGUUGAGGCUCGAAAGCGUGGGGAGCAAACAGGAUUAGAUACCCGAGUAGUC
rnacentral:rRNA from 1 species